rnacentral:rRNA from 1 species
UACAGAGGGUGCGAGCGUUGUCCGGAAUUAUUGGGCGUAAAGGGCUCGUAGGCGGUCUGUUGCGUCGGGAGUGAAAACUCAGGGCUUAACCCUGAGCCUGCUUCCGAUACGGGCAGACUAGAGGUAUGCAGGGGAGAACGGAAUUCCUGGUGUAGCGGUGAAAUGCGCAGAUAUCAGGAGGAACACCGGUGGCGAAGGCGGUUCUCUGGGCAUUACCUGACGCUGAGGAGCGAAAGUGUGGGGAGCGAACAGG